rnacentral:rRNA from 1 species
AUGAAUAUUUCCCUCCUUUCCCGCUGGCUAUGGUGCAUUUCCCAAGGGCAGGGCAGUCUGUGGCUGAACAUCAUCCGGAACAAGUACCUGCGCGGACAACCCCUAGCCUUCUGUCAAAGGUCUGGCGGUUCCCAGUUUUGGCAGCCGGUCAUCCAACUGCAACCCGUCCUCCGCAUUGGGACCUCCAUCUCGGUUGGAUUGGGUAGUGCGACUUUGUUCUGGUUCGAUCGUUGGGCGGGAGACACCCCCUUCGCGGCUCGCUUCCCAGACCUCUUUUCCAUCGCUGUCGCCCCCUUGAUUUCAGUUGAGAGGGCCCUUAUGGACUUAGGGCGCCUCGCUUUCUGGAGGCCAUUUGGGCCUCCGGAAGCCGCCGCUUGGCUUGAGCUGCUUGAGUGCGUCGCUCUCCACAAGCCGGUGGUGGAUGCUGGGCCGGACGAGGUGCGGUGGCGCCUUGAGCCUUCAGGCCAAUUCUCCACCAAGUCCCUCUACAUGGCCAUCGCCCCCUCCACCGCUUCCCCCCUCCCUGCGGUUUGGUCCAUCCGCCUGCCACUUAAAAUACGGAUAUUCAUGUGGCAAUGGAUCCGCGGACGGAUCCCCUCUGGGGUGGAGGUCCGCAAACGCAAUGGCCCAGGGUCCGGCCUCUGCCCGCUGUGUGGUACCCCUGAAGAUUCGAAUCACAUCUUCUUCUCCUGUGUCUCUGCCCAAUUCAUGUGGAGCUGCUUUAGAGAGGUGGUGAGAGGUAAUUGA